rnacentral:rRNA from 1 species
UACGAAGGGGCUAGCGUUGUUCGGAAUUACUGGGCGUAAAGCGCGCGCAGGCGGCUAUCCAAGUCAGUAGUGAAAGCCCGGAGCUCAACUCCGGAACUGCCAUUGAAACUGUUUAGCUUGAGGACGAGAGAGGUGAGUGGAAUUCCCAGUGUAGAGGUGAAAUUCGUAGAUAUUGGGAAGAACACCGGUGGCGAAGGCGGCUCACUGGCUCGUAUCUGACGCUCAGGCGCGAUAGCGUGGGGAUCAAACAGG